ensembl:lncRNA
AAUAUUUGCCUGAAUGUAAAGGGUUAAAACGUGCUCUGGAGUGACAUUGCUACGCAGUCCAUAUCGUUGGUGCUGAAAUCUGACUGAGUUUUUUUCCCCCAUAAAAAUAUGUACAUUUACUGCCCCCUCUGGUAGAUUCAGGCACAGAAGAGUGAGUGGGACCAAAGACAAACAGGCAACUCUUGAUAAACCCUUGUCUCCGCCUGUACAUGCGUCACAUCGAUCAGAGCCCGAAGUCGCAGUCCAGGAGCUUGUCAAACCCUCCAACGUAAGCAAUUACAUUCCUCCACUCACUUGUCAACGGCUACAAAUACUUCUUUACAAAUUUUACUCAGAUCAUUUUACUUAGAUAUUUUACUCACAUGGAUAAUACAAAGGCUCUGUCUGACACUUCUUAAUAUAGCCUAUAUACUCCACUUUGAUCACGCUUUCACUAUUUUACCUACAUUUCUGUCAAAUAAUAAGGGUGUUUUAUGGAAACUUACUGCAAUGUGUAUAACAUUAUUUUGUUUGUUGCUACAACUCUGGGUGUCAGUUGCUCGAUAGCUGUGGUACGGUUGAGGGCAGCUGUGAACACCUUCAUCCCAGUAGCUUUUUGUGUGCAGUUGCAUCAUAUAGUGUCUUUGACGUAGUACACUACAGUUUAAGUCAACCGUGCUGCCCCACAACAGGUUUCUCUUCCACCAAGAUUGAGCUCAGAGUCUGUCGUCUCUGCUUCUCUGUAUGACUGUGUCCCGCCCAGUGGCUGUUAGCGCACAUUGCUUCUAACUACCACUCAAAAUGUAUGACUUCCUCACUGGAGCUAUCAGUCCCCUCCAGAAAGGCACAUUCACAUCGGCCUUGUGCCGAAAUACUGAAAAGGAGGGCUGCUAUGCUAAUGUAAUGGAGGUAAGAAAGUGCCAUAAGUUUACUCCACACAGCUAGCUUAAAUGUCUCCAAUGGUGCUAUCGGAUCAUUUUCUAUAGAGCAACUGGUUAGUAAGUUGUCAAGGAGGGCGGUCACGUGUGGCGGUCACGUGUGUUUGCGAUUAGAGCACCACUGGUUUGAGCCCAGUAAGGGGACACGGGGACAGUUGAGGAAGCAAAGCUGUUAGCAGCACACUGAUUUAGGUUUCACUAACAGAGAUGGCUGUUAACACCUUCACUGCUGUCCAAUAUCAACUGGAAAUUGAAAGGACACUAUAAGCUGUGCUCAGGUACAGUGAUUAUUAGUUGUAAGUGCAUGUUAUUUAUUUCAGGCAUCAGAGUCACAGACCAGGAGCUAGUCAGACCCUUCAGCGUAAGCCAUUACAAUUCCUCCACUCACUUGUCAACAGAUACAAAUACAGAAUUUUAAAGAUACAGAAUUCUACUUAGAUAUUUUAUUCACAACAAUGAUACAAAGGCUCUGACACUUCUUAAUGUAGCCUACAUAUCACCUCCACUUUGAUUAAAGCGUUCACAAUUUUACCUAUAUUUCUGUUUUACGUAAACUUUUAUUUUAGCUGUUGCUAUACCUCUGUGCACGCCUUUUCUGACAAUGGGUCUCAGUUGCACGACAGCUGUGGUACUGGUGUUGGUAUAAUGGACGUCACGCUUCUUGCUUAGCGAGUACCACUUCCUCCUGAUUCGGCUCACACAGAGGCUCAAACCCAGGAUCUCUUGUUUGCUAGCACAUGUGACCGCCCUCCCGAAGCCUCUUACCAGUCAUGCCACACAAAAAGCUAGCUAUUUGGUGGCGCAAAGUGGGGACACUUCAGGCUGAGGAGUAAGUUUUACAUAUCCCCAUGUGCUACAUCAGAAGCUGUCUUGAAACAGCAACCAUGGACACCCUCAUCUCAGUAGCUCUUUGUGUGUGCAGUUGCGUCAUAACUUUCUAGAUCAUUUCCAUGUUAACCUGAAGACAAAACCAAAACAAACACAAAAUAUUACAAAAAUCUUUUAGCACUUUGUCAUUGUCACUCCUCAUUCCUCUAAUUCCAUUCACAUUAAAGAAAUAUUUCCAUGGAAGUUGGCGUCACUCGACACUGCAGCCAUGGGAUAGUGAACCAAUCAAAAGUGGAUUGAAGAGUAGCCUUUUCCCCGUAACCCAAUCAGCAUUGUGUAUGCAUGAGCCA